rnacentral:rRNA from 1 species
AUUGAACGCUGGCGGCAGGCCUAACACAUGCAAGUCGAACGAGUGGCGGACGGGUGAGUAAUGUCUGGGAACGUGCCUGGUGGAGGGGGAUAACUACUGGAAACGGUAGCUAAUACCGCAUACCAUCGGAUGUGCCCAGAUGGGAUUAGCUUGUUGGUGGGGUAAAGGCUCACCAAGGAGACGAUCCCUAGAUGGUUUGAGAGGAUGACCAGCCACACUGGAACUGUGCCACGGCCCAGACUCCUACGGGAGGCAGCAGUGGGGAAUAUUGCACAAUGGGCGCAAUCCUGAUGCAGCCAUGCCGCGUGUAUGAAGAAGGCCUUCGGGUUGUAAAGUACUUUCAGCGGGGAGGCGUUACCCGCAGAAGAAGCACCGGCUAACUCCGUGCCAGCCGCCGCGGUAAUAC